rnacentral:sRNA from 1 species
GCCAGGCGUGGUGGCACAUGCCUGUAAUCCCAGUGGCUUGGGAGGCUGAGGCAGGAGGAUGGCAAGUUCAAAACCAGCCUCAG